rnacentral:rRNA from 1 species
AGUGAACGCUGGCGGUAGGCCUAACACAUGCCAGUCGAACGGCAGCACAGUAAGAGCUUGCUCUUACGGGUGGCGAGUGGCGGACGGGUGAGGAAUACAUCGGAAUCUACUUUUUCGUGGGGGAUAACGUAGGGAAACUUACGCUAAUACCGCAUACGACCUACGGGUGAAAGCAGGGGAUCUUCGGACCUUGCGCGAUUGAAUGAGCCGAUGUCGGAUUAGCUAGUUGGCGGGGUAAGGGCCCACCAAGGCGACGAUCCGUAGCUGGUCUGAGAGGAUGAUCAGCCACACUGGAACUGAGACACGGUCCAGACUCCUACGGGAGGCAGCAGUGGGGAAUAUUGGACAAUGGGCGCAAGCCUGAUCCAGCCAUACCGCGUGGGUGAAGAAGGCCUUCGGGUUGUAAAGCCCUUCUGUUGGGAAAGAAAAGCAGCAGGUUAAUACCCCGCUGUUCUGACGGUACCCAAAGAAUAAGCACCGGCUAACUUCGUG